UACGAAGGGGGCUAGCGUUGUUCGGAAUCACUGGGCGUAAAGCGCACGUAGGCGGACUGUUAAGUCGGGGGUGAAAUCCUGGGGCUCAACCCCAGAACUGCCCUCGAUACUGGCGGUCUUGAGUGUGGAAGAGGUUGGUGGAAUUCCGAGUGUAGAGGUGAAAUUCGUAGAUAUUCGGAAGAACACCAGUGGCGAAGGCGACUUACUGGACACAUAUUGACGCUGAGGUGCGAAAGCGUGGGGAGCAAACAGG
rnacentral:rRNA from 1 species